UCUGGAGGACGAAGCAUAACA
rnacentral:miRNA from 1 species